GAGAGAGGGGAAAAAUCUCUAUCUGCAUUCAUUUCAAAGAGUGAAAGAAUUCGACAAAAAGAAGUAGGAUGUCAUUGCUUGGGUAUGGCAGCUUGCGGUCCCAAUAAGGGGUGAUUCUGCAGUAGUUAUUCCCUGGCUUCAACACUUGCAUACUAAUCGGCUGUCCCUUUCUCCCUGGAUGCAAGAUAUUAGACUCUGGUUGUCUUCUUUUCAAACUUUCAAACUGUCUCAUUUUUGCAGAGAAGGUAAUCAAGCUGCUGAUUGGGCUGUGAACCAUGCCCUUACAGAAGACUUCCUUCUGUCAGUGGAUCAAUUAUAUUUGCAGCCUUGGUUUGCCUGUAUUUUGAAGGCUGAUGCUUAUUCUAUUGGUUUCCCUAGCCAUGGUCUCUAAUGUACUCCCAAUCUUUACUAGCCUAGUUAUUCUCCUGUUUACACAUUUUUGUUUGCAUGGCUAUGGGUCUUGCUUCGCUGUCAGAUCAUUACCAUCAAUCUCCAUCUCUGCUUCACUGCAUCACAAAAAUGAAAUUAUCCGGCUGAUCUGGCUGUAUGGCUCAGGGUUUUGUAUAUUUGCUCUGCUCCUGGGACUGCUUUUUAUAGCUUUCAAAUUUCUGGGUAUGCUAAAAUUCCUUGUGUGGAGGACAAUAGUUUGGUUUCAGCUUUUUUGUAUCACGAUUUCAGCCUUUCAACCUUGGAUACUGCGGUCCGCAGAAGAUUACAAUUCUAUGGGUUACAUUCAAAGGUGGUUAUGGAUGAUACAUGUUUACAGCUAUCUAAAACUGAAGAGUAUGGUAUAGGUUCCUGGUUGCUAUAUUGCUUGUGCUGUUCUGCUCAACUUGGUGGACAUUAUAUCCAUAUAUUAUUCAAUGCUCUUCCUUUACCUUGCAUCUCGCUGUUAUGAUGCUAUCCUGCUUUGGCUAUGGGUUUUUUGUCUGACAGUAAACAUUUCUAUAGAAGCCGGCAAUCUCACAUAUAUGAGGUUCAAGGAUUCUGAUCUGCUAUGGUUUUAUAGUAUCAAGUUGGCUCUAUGUUCCUUUAGCAUUAUCAGGUACCAGGAUUGGCUUUCCAUGUCACUUCUUCAUUGUCUAAUCUCAACUCAUCUGCUAUUUUGGUCCUUCUCCUUCCAUCCAUUGAUCCAUCCUGUCAACUGUCGCUGCAGCAGAGGUAUCUCAUUAACUCUGGAAUCUGAAUGGACAACACAAGCUUCUUCUUGCAUGGUUUUAUUGCUUUUCUGUGACUAAAGCUGCUUUCAUUCAUUACUCUCCUUUUGCACCGCAUAAGAUCCAGCCAAUUCUUGCUAUCAGUGGCUUGUGGACCCAUUUUGUUUGGGUUAUGUAUGACAUGUGCACUUUACCAGGGUGUAUAGUUUGUUGGUUCCCCUGUACCAAUGUUCUUAUCUGUUACUCUGUUUUCUUCUUUAUUCUUGGAUCUGAGCCUCUUUUGUUGUCUUUGUUUGUGUUGGGGCUCUGUUUACACCUUUUGUCUAUGAAGUUUGCUUGUGAAUAAAGUCUCUUCUUUA